rnacentral:rRNA from 1 species
UAGCAUAUCAAUAAGCGGAGGAAAAAGAAACCAACAGGGAUUGCCCUAGUAACGGCGAGUGAAGCGGCAACAGCUCAAAUUUGAAAUCUGGCGUCUUUGGCGUCCGAGUUGUAAUUUGCAGAGGGCGCUUUGGCAUUGGCAGCGGUCCAAGUUCCUUGGAACAGGACGUCACAGAGGGUGAGAAUCCCGUACGUGGUCGCUAGCCUUUACCGUGUAAAGCCCCUUCGACGAGUCGAGUUGUUUGGGAAUGCAGCUCUAAAUGGGAGGUAAAUUUCUUCUAAAGCUAAAUACUGGCCAGAGACCGAUAGCGCACAAGUAGAGUGAUCGAAAGAUGAAAAGCACUUUGGAAAGAGAGUUAAAAAGCACGUGAAAUUGUUGAAAGGGAAGCGCUUGCAGCCAGACUUGCCUGUAGUUGCUCAUCUAGGUUUCUACCUAGUGCACUCUUCUAUAGGCAGGCCAGCAUCAGUUUGGGCGGUUGGAUAAAGGUCUCUGUCAUGUACCUCUCUUCGGGGAGAACUUAUAGGGGAGACGACAUGCAACCAGCCUGGACUGAGGUCCGCGCAUCUGCUAGGAUGCUGGCGUAAUGGCUGUAAGCGGCCCGUCUUGAAACACGGACCAAGGAGUCUAACAUCUAUGCGAGUGUUUGGGUGUCAAGCCCGAGCGCGUAAUGAAAGUGAACGGAGGUGGGAACCUUUCGGGGUGCACCAUCGACCGAUCCUGAUGUCUUCGGAUGGAUUUGAGUAAGAGCAUAGCUGUUGGGACCCGAAAGAUGGUGAACUAUGCUUGAAUAGGGUGAAGCCAGAGGAAACUCUGGUGGAGGCUCGCAGCGGUUCUGACGUGCAAAUCGAUCGUCAAAUUUGGCAUAGGGCGAAAGACUAAUCGACUUCA